GUUGGUGAACAUGAGACGGAAGGACUGGAAACCAACAACAUCAUCUCGUCUUUGCAGCGCUCAUUUUGAAGUGCAUGCCUUCACCCACGACUCAAAGGGGAAUCGUCACCUUAAGAGUACAGCAGUCCCAACCAUCUUCUCAAGUCAUCUGGUUGAUCACAGCUACAACCUAGAGUCUCCAAGGACUUUAAAAUGGAAAAAGCAGGAC